CCCUUAGAUGUUCUGGGCCGCACGCGCGCUACACUGAUGCAUUCAACGAGUCUAAAACCUGCUCUGAUAGGGGUGGGUAAUCUUUUGAAUGUGCAUCGUGAUUGGGAUAGAUGAUUGCAAUUUUUCAUCUUCAACGAGGAAUGCCUAGUAAACGCAAGUCAUCAGCUUGCAUUGAUUACGUCCCUGCCCUUUGUACACACCGCCCGUCGCUCCUACCGAUUGAAUGAUCCGAUGAAUAUCAUGGAUUGAGGAUGUAAGCAGGUUCGCCUGUCUUCAUCUUCGAGAAGUGAAGUAAAUUUUAUCAUUUAGAGGAAGGAGAAGUCGUAACA
rnacentral:rRNA from 1 species